AUCCCGCUGAAGAGUCUCAAAUAGGACGAAACGCGUGUCCUGGAU
rnacentral:hammerhead_ribozyme from 1 species